rnacentral:sRNA from 1 species
GGAGAGUGGAGAAGGGAAGGAAGAGGAGAGAAGGAAGUGGAGCUCUUGCCCGACAGAGACCCGGACAGCGACGGGACCAAGAUCAGCACAGUGAAAGUCCAAGGCAAUGACAUCUCCCACAAGCUUCAGAUUUCCAAAGUGAGGAAAAAGGAUGAAGGCUUAUACGAGUGCAGGGUGACUGAUGCCAACUACGGGGAGCUUCAGGAACACAAGGCCCAGGCCUAUCUGAAAGUCAAUGCCAACAGCCAUGCCCGCAGAAUGCAGGCCUUCGAAGCCUCGCCCAUGUGGCUGCAGGAUAUGAAGCCCCGCAAGAACGUCUCCGCAGCCGUCCCCAGCAGCAUCCAUGGCUCUGCCAACCAACGAACGCACUCCACCUCCAGCCCUCAAGCGGUAGCCAAAAUCCCCAAACAAAGUCCACAAUCAGCAAAGAGCAAAUCGCCUGUAAAAUCUACGGAGCGGACAGCAAAGUUGACCCUAAACUCCAAGCACCACCCUGCACCCACUGUACUCUAAUUCACUACACAAGGAGCGCCUGCUUCUGGAAGCAUAAAUGAAGAGGCUAUCACAUGCUUUGUUGAUCAUAUUUUCUUUGGCAAAACACUGAUCUUUUAUUUUAAGAGAAUUAGUGUGAAGUUUUCUAAUAGCAAGAUCUAUUUUUUUCCCUUUUCUUUCGGCGACUAAAAUCAUCUCACUGACUGCUCAAGGGUUGGCCUGAAUGUCAUCAGGAUAGGGAAUAUUCACUAUGGAUACCACUAAUUUCCUACUAAAGGACCC